rnacentral:rRNA from 1 species
CGGUUAAUUGAAAAGGGCUUUUGGUGGAUGCCUUGGCAUCAAGAGGCGAUGAAGGAGGCGGAAGGCUGCCAUAAGUUCCGGGGAGCUGUCAAUCAAGCUUUGAUCCGGAAAUGUCCGAAUGGGGAAACCCGUCUUGGUAAAUCCAAGAUAUCCUUGUCUGAAUUCAUAGGACAAGGAGGCUAACGACGUGAACUGAAACAUCUCAGUAGCGUCAGGAAAAGAAAACGAAGUGAUUCCCUAAGUAGUGGUGAGCGAAAGGGGAACAGCCUAAACCG